UACGUAGGGUGCAAGCGUUGUCCGGAAUUAUUGGGCGUAAAGAGCUCGUAGGCGGUCUGUUGCGUCGGCUGUGAAAACCCGGGGCUCAACUCCGGGCCUGCAGCCGAUACGGGCAGACUAGAGUUCGGCAGGGGAGACUGGAAUUCCUGGUGUAGCGGUGAAAUGCGCAGAUAUCAGGAGGAACACCGGUGGCGAAGGCGGCUCACUGGUCCGGUACUGACGCUGAGGUGCGAAAGCGUGGGGAGCAAACAGG
rnacentral:rRNA from 1 species